rnacentral:tRNA from 1 species
GCGCCGGUGGUGUAACGGUAACAUCGUUGCCGUAACAUAACAACAUCGAAUGCAGAGACUGCGGGUUCGAGUCCCGCCUGGCGUA